GUGUAUCAAGGAGCGGAAAACUGAUAGUGGGUUGAGAAGGAAGGCAGUGCAUCUAAGACUGGCACGUACACGAGGCGAGGGGAGGAGACGGGAAAGGGGUCGAAGAUUGCAGGCAGCGGAUUACGUUCAGCUGGUAACUCAGGGUGUAUCGCGAGCCAUGCGGAAGGAGAGCUAGAGCGAGCGAGAGAGGUGUAUAGAGGGUCAAGCGGGAGUGGGCGAGACGGAGCUAUGCGUGGCCCGAGUAGUGGAAAGAGGACGUCCCGGAUCAGACGCUCGAGACGUGAGCACAAAGGUGAAUUCGUUUGAUGGAAGAAACCGUCUUAACCGAUGAAAAUUUCAAGGCGACGUCUUCUUCAUCUUUCACUAUUCAGUUAGAUGCGCAUUUCACGCCAGCUUAGCUGUUUUUAAAUUUUAACGGAUUGAUGAACGUGGAUCCCCUAAAAAUAUGGCGACAUGGAUGAAGGAAGUUGCGCGCCAGCGAUGGACGCUCUAAAAGAAAUUCCCAUAAACCGUGGAAUGGGGAAAGGGAUUCGGAAACGUCUUCUUAACUCCGUUUUUUUACUUUUAGAUUUUCUUUUGGACGCGUAGACUCAGGAUGUCGUAAUUCGCUAGAUGGGAGUGGCCGCAAGGUGCCGCGUUCUUUUUCGAUUUCUCGGACGCAGGCGCCAGAGAAGGCUGCAGAAAUUAGAACCAUUACUAAUGGCGACGACAGAAAGCAACGAGCAUAAUUUGCGGGCUUGCUCGAGCCAUCGGCAAAGCGAAGUUUACGCCAUAAAAAGCGAGGUCCGGGAAACUUUUGCGGUACUCCGCCGGAGUUUUCGCGAAAAUCGAUGUCCACCGUUUGAGCCUCGUUCUGGGUCUCCUGGGAAAUGGGUGAAUAAAUAAAUCUCGGGACCGCUCCUCUCGGUGAACGAAAGGUCGGUCAUGUGCGAGCUACGAAUUAUUCCCAUGCAACUUCUAUGCCAUAUUCUCGCCAAGGGUAAACAGUUGACAACUGGAAGUAAAGUGUUCAAAAAGUUGGACUACUUAAACGCUGGUCCGAAUAAACCGUUUUAUUCGCUCUA